rnacentral:rRNA from 1 species
UACGAAGGGGGCGAGCGUUGUUCGGAUUUACUGGGCGUAAAGGGCGCGUAGGCGGCCUUGUAAGUCAGGCGUGAAAGCCCCGGGCUCAACCUGGGAACGGCGCUUGGGACGGCGAGGCUGGAGUUCGGGAGAGGAGAGUGGAAUUCCCAGUGUAGAGGUGAAAUUCGUAGAUAUUGGGAAGAACACCGGUGGCGAAGGCGGCUCUCUGGACCGACACUGACGCUGAGGCGCGAAAGCGUGGGGAGCAAACAGG